rnacentral:lncRNA from 1 species
GAUUCUCCAUGGUUUUUCUUCCUUUCCUCCAAGCUCUUCUUUCCUCUUUCUCUCUUCUUCUUUCCUUCUCUUUAUUUUCUUUUUCCUUAUCUCUCACUCUCUCUUACCUACUUCUUCUUAUCCUUUUCUUCUUCUCUUUCUUUCUAACCACACAAAGUACAUAUAUAAUAUUUAUAAUAUCAAGUAGUAAUAAAAAUAUCCCAAUUGAUAUUUUAUCUUUCAG